rnacentral:lncRNA from 10 species
AUCCGUCAGUCCCACCUUGGCCUAGGCCUCUAUACAGCACAGAUCACAGCUCAUUCCAUCCUGGCAUUACACUGGCCUGUGCCCUGUCCUCAGGGUCACAUCCGUCUCCCAGAAGCCGUGCAACCCUGGAAAACCCAGGUCUAACAGUCAGGUUCCUCCUCCGUGCAUUAACAAUGGCGUUGACGCCUGCUUUGCGGCACGCUGGGAGGGGAGAGGGAGGUGUAUGCUGGAGAGCUCCCCAGGGGCAAGGCCUGGCUCUGCGUCACCCACUGUCAGAUCCUGAGAGCCUGGGGCUGGCCCAGCACGUGGCCACCGUUCCCUAAGAGUUGGAUUUCAUCCCUCAGUGCUGAAGGCAGGGGAUAGAGCUUAGACAGACCCCCUGCAUCCUGUCUUCUUUAUCUACAGCUUUCUCAUCCUUGUCCCUUUCACGUGCACCCGGCAGAGCAGGUGUUCACUGAGCUUGAGCAAAAUUCAAGCUAGAGCAGCUGAUGGAUCUUGAGGCCUAGAUUCACUGUCAAAGUGUUUCUCAAACGGUGCUCUCCAGAACACCAAGGAAAACUCAUUUACUCUAUAAGUCUGAAAAUCCCUGCCCACCGGUCUACCUUUGUGUAUGAGCAAUCAGCUCUACCAUUCAGCCCAGGUGUGUGUUUGCUGGACCAUGUGGAGGAAGCUGAAGAGACAUGAGCUGAAGGCAGAGGGGCCUAGGGGAUGCCAAAUUCCAGGGUCCAGAAAGAGCUUGGGAUAAAAUGAAACUUCAAGGGGACGGCUUUGACCUGGGCUGAGUCUGUCUGUGCCAUCCAACUGGAGUCUCAAGUCCUGAGGCAGGACGUCCAGAUGCCCCAGUGCAGGGCCCUCCUGAUCAACACCUGCUCCCCUGUACUCAUUAGCAACCUCACCCACCCUACUCUCAAAGCACACUUGGCUCUCGUAUCCAGGAGCUCUGCAUCUAUAGAUUCAGCAACAGCAGAUGGAAAAUAUUCAGAAAAUAAAUUGGAUGGUUAUGUUUCUAUUGAACAUGUGCAGACUUUGUUCUUGUCAUCAUUCCCUAAAGAAUACAGUAUCACGACCAUUUAUGUAGCAUCUGCAUU